rnacentral:RNase_P_RNA from 1 species
GCAGUGCUUCAGUUCUAUCGCUGGCAAGACAUACACUAUAUGUCUUGCGAGAGGAAAGUCCGGGCAGCACAGAGCACUCCACUUGCGAAAAUACAAGCUAUUGGUAACAGUAGGUUAGGACAGAAGAAAACAACCGCCUUGCACACAUUGCAGGGUAAGGGUGAGAAGGUGGUGUAAGAGACCACCAGCCGCAGGGUGAUCUGCGGGCUGUGUCCACUGGAGGCUGUAAGUUCAUGUAUACCAUCGUCAACAAGGGCUGCUCGCCCGAUUUGAUUUUUUCAUACGAUGGAGGGUAGAACGCUUGAACAUCAAGGUGACUUGAUGACUAGAUAAAUGAUAGGACAUCUAUCGUGUUGAGAGACUCAAUAGAGAACAGAACCCGGCUUAUAGAAGCACUGCUUUC